GAUGAACGCUGGCGGCGUGCCUAAUACAUGCAAGUCGAGCGAACGGACGAGGAGCUUGCUCCUCUGACGUUAGCGGCGGACGGGUGAGUAACACGUGGAUAACCUACCUAUAAGACUGGGAUAACUUCGGGAAACCGGAGCUAAUACCGGAUAAUAUAUUGAACCGCAUGGUUCAAUAGUGAAAGACGGUUUUGCUGUCACUUAUAGAUGGAUCCGCGCCGCAUUAGCUAGUUGGGAAGGUAACGGCUUACCAAGGCAACGAUGCGUAGCCGACCUGAGAGGGGGAUCGGCCACACUGGAACUGAGACACGGGCCCGACUCCUACGGGAGGCAGCAGUAGGGAAUCUUCCGCAAUGGGCGAAAGCCUGACGGAGCAACGCCGCGUGAGUGAUGAAGGUCUUCGGAUCGUAAAACUCUGUUAUUAGGGAAGAACAAAUGUGUAAGUAACUAUGCACGUCUUGACGGUACCUAAUCAGAAAGCCACGGCUAACUACGUG
rnacentral:rRNA from 1 species